UGGGAAUUUGGACAAUGGGCGAAGCUGAUCCAGCAAUGCCGCGUGUGUGAAGAAGGCCUUCGGGUUGUAAAGCACUUUUGUCCGGAAAGAAAUCCUUGGCUCUAAUACAGUCGGGGGAUGACGGUACCGGAAGAAUAAGCACCGGCUAACUACGUGCCAGCAGCCGCGGUAAUACGUAGGGUGCAAGCGUUAAUCGGAAUUACUGGGCGUAAAGCGUGCGCAGGCGGUUUGCUAAGACCGAUGUGAAAUCCCCGGGCUCAACCUGGGAACUGCAUUGGUGACUGGCAGGCUAGAGUAUGGCAGAGGGGGGUAGAAUUCCACGUGUAGCAGUGAAAUGCGUAGAGAUGUGGAGGAAUACCGAUGGCGAAGGCAGCCCCUGGGCAAUACUGACGCUCAUGCACGAAAAGCGUGGGGAGCAAACAGGAUUAGAUACCCUGGUAGUCCACGCCCUAAACGAUGUCAACUAGUUGUUGGGGAUUCAUUUCCUUAGUAACGUAGCUAACGCGUGAAGUUGACCGCCUGGGGAGUACGGUCGC
rnacentral:rRNA from 1 species